rnacentral:rRNA from 1 species
CGGGUGAGUAACACGUGGAUAACCUACCUAUAAGACUGGAAUAACUUCGGGAAACCGGAGCUAAUACCGGAUAAUAUUUUGAACCGCAUGGUUCAAAAGUGAAAGACGGUCUUGCUGUCACUUAUAGAUGGAUCCGCGCUGCAUUAGCUAGUUGGUAAGGUAACGGCUUACCAAGGCAACGAUGCAUAGCCGACCUGAGAGGGUGAUCGGCCACACUGGAACUGAGACACGGUCCAG